AGAGUUUGAUCCUGGCUCAGGACGAACGCUGGCGGCGUGCCUAAUACAUGCAAGUCGAGCGGACCGACGGGAGCUUGCUCCCUUAGGUCAGCGGCGGACGGGUGAGUAACACGUGGGUAACCUGCCUGUAAGACUGGGAUAACUCCGGGAAACCGGGGCUAAUACCGGAUGCUUGAUUGAACCGCAUGGUUCAAUCAUAAAAGGUGGCUUUUAGCUACCACUUACAGAUGGACCCGCGGCGCAUUAGCUAGUUGGUGAGGUAACGGCUCACCAAGGCGACGAUGCGUAGCCGACCUGAGAGGGUGAUCGGCCACACUGGGACUGAGACACGGCCCAGACUCCUACGGGAGGCAGCAGUAGGGAAUCUUCCGCAAUGGACGAAAGUCUGACGGAGCAACGCCGCGUGAGUGAUGAAGGUUUUCGGAUCGUAAAACUCUGUUGUUAGGGAAGAACAAGUACCGUUCGAAUAGGGCGGUACCUUGACGGUACCUAACCAGAAAGCCACGGCUAACUACGUGCCAGCAGCCGCGGUAAUACGUAGGUGGCAAGCGUUGUCCGGAAUUAUUGGGCGUAAAGCGCGCGCAGGCGGUUUCUUAAGUCUGAUGUGAAAGCCCCCGGCUCAACCGGGGAGGGUCAUUGGAAACUGGGGAACUUGAGUGCAGAAGAGGAGAGUGGAAUUCCACGUGUAGCGGUGAAAUGCGUAGAGAUGUGGAGGAACACCAGUGGCGAAGGCGACUCUCUGGUCUGUAACUGACGCUGAGGCGCGAAAGCGUGGGGAGCGAACAGGAUUAGAUACCCUGGUAGUCCACGCCGUAAACGAUGAGUGCUAAGUGUUAGAGGGUUUCCGCUCUUUUAGUGCUGCAGCAAACGCAUUAAGCACUCCGGCUGGG
rnacentral:rRNA from 1 species